AUUAUUGGUUAGUUUCAAGGUUGAAACAUUUUAGUUUUAAUUAUUCACAGCUUCUGAUUUUUGUUGCAAUUCAUAAUGUCCUUGUUAAAAUUCUAUGGUUUAGUCUUUUGUUUUGGUAAAACUGUCUAGUGUUCAGGAAAAGACUGAUUAAACUAGCUAUACAGGCAUUAAAAGUUAAUGCCUUUGUUUCAUUUUUACCCACAUACCAGUAGUUACCAUGGUUACUGAGAAGGGUUCAGGUAGUGCAAACUUGCAGAUGUGCUAAUACGUUUUCCUGGUCCAUUCUCUCAGUUGCUACAAAAUUACAGUAGCUAGUUUCUAGGGUGAGCAUUUUUUUCUAUCCUAGGUUAAUUUGGGGACCUUGUAAUCUCUUAUUUCACACCCUUCAUUCAACCAACUCACUUACACAAAAGGACUGUUCCAUAUGCAGUGGGGUAGACCAUGGUAACAAACCCAGAGAGUAAUUUACAAGAAUGACAAUCCUUCUUUCCUGUCUAUAUAUUUAUUUAUAUUUCAUCAAUAAUCAUCUCAUUGCUUAGGUGAGACAGAACUACAUUCUUCAAGUGCUGAUAUUAUUGGGGAUGUCUGAAUUACUUUGGUUGCAAGCAACAGAAACUAACUGGAGAAGGAAGUGUUUUGUGGAACCUGGAACAAGGAGGCAGCUGGGCCACCUGCAUUCCUUGGUUUAUGACCCCUUCCUCCAUCCUCAAAACCAGCAACAGCAGAUCCUUUAUCUCACAUCCCCUGCUCCUUCUUCCAUCCUCGGAUUCCUCUCUCUCAGCCAGAAACCUUCGCUUCUGUUAGGACUCAAGAGGAUUAAACUCACCUGGAUAGUACAGGAAACUCUGCAUAUCUCAAAGUCUGCCCCCUUCAACACAUUUGCCAUAUAAGAUUUAGCAGCUCAGUAAAUGGAGAAAUGCCACCUGGCCCUGAGAACCUCCCUUACCCCUGGAUGACUCGGCUUCAGGAAGACAGCUUUAGAGGCUCCUGUGAUUUCAUCUCCAGCCAAUCCAUUGUUCCAAUGCCCCAGCCCACUGCUUGCCAAAGUACCCUUAAGAAACCCCAGCCUCUGAAUCCUCAAGGAGGCGAGUUUGAGAAAUGUCUCCCUGUUUUCCUUGCUUGGCUGGCCCUGCGAUGAUUAAAUUCCUUCUUUGCUGCAACACCUCCUGUUCUGUGUGUGUGUGUGUGUGUGUUUUUCAGGGAAUCAGGCAACAAGAACCUGUUUGACUGUGACAAAAGUAGGCAUUAGGGAAACUACAUUUUUAUUUUAAUAAUUUUUAUGAU
rnacentral:lncRNA from 13 species